rnacentral:rRNA from 1 species
GACGAACGCUGGCGGCGUGCCUAAUGCAUGCAAGUCGCACGCGGCACCUUCGGGUGCUGAGUGGCGAACGGCUGAGGAACACGUGGGGACCUGUCCGGGAGUGGGGGACAACACCGCGAAAGCGGUGCUAAUCCCGCAUACGCUCUGAGGAGGAAAGCCGAAAGGCGCUCCCGGGUGGCCCUGCGGCCCAUCAGGUUGUUGGUGGGGUAACGGCCUACCAAGCCAAUGACGGGUCGCUGGUCUGUGAGGACGACCAGCCAGACUGGGACUGGGACACGGCCCAGACUCCUACGGGAGGCAGCAGCAAGGAAUUUUCGGCAAUGGGCGCAAGCCUGACCGAGCAACGCCGCGUGCAGGAAGACGGCCUUCGGGUUGUAAACUGCUUUUGCUAGGGAUGAUGACAGACAGUACCUGGCGAAUCAGCCCCGGCUAACUCUGUG